rnacentral:rRNA from 1 species
CCAAUAGCGUAUAUUAAAGUUGUUGCAGUUAAAAAGCUCGUAGUUGAAUUUCGGGAUUGACGUGAUGGUUAUGCCUUAAGGGGUAUGAACUGUCACAGUUGAUUUCUCACCUUCUGGAGAAACUUGAUGUCCUUUAUUGGGUGUCUUGCGGAUCCAGGACCUUUACCUUGAAAAAAUUAGAGUGUUUAAAGCAGGCAUUUUUGCUAGAAUACAUUAGCACGGAAUAAUAGAAUAGGACGGCAUGGUUCUAUUUUGUUGGUUUCUAGGAUCACCGUAAUGAUUAAUAGGGAUAGUUGGGGGCAUUAGUAUUCAAUUGUCAGAGGUGAAGUUCUUGGAUUUAUUGAAGACUAACUACUGCGAAAGCAUUUGCCAAGGAUGUUUUCAUUAAUCAAGAACGAAAGUUAGGGGAUCGAAGACGAUCAGAUACCGUCGUAGUCUUAACCAUAAACUAUGCCGACUAGGAAUCAGACGAUGUUAAUUUUUUAAUGACUCGUUUGGCACCUUAC